rnacentral:rRNA from 1 species
UACAGAGGUCUCAAGCGUUGUUCGGAUUCAUUGGGCGUAAAGGGUGCGUAGGCGGCGCGGUAAGUCGGGUGUGAAAUCUCGGAGCUUAACUCCGAAACUGCAUUCGAUACUGCCGUGCUUGAGGACUGGAGAGGAGACUGGAAUUUACGGUGUAGCGGUGAAAUGCGUAGAUAUCGUAAGGAAGACCAGUGGCGAAGGCGGCAUCCUGGACCGGUAUUGACGCUGAGGCGCGAAGGCCAGGGGAGCAAACGGG